GACGAACGCUGGCGGCGUGCUUAACACAUGCAAGUCGAACGGAAAGGCCUGCUUUCCCUUGUGGAUUGCGGGUACUCGAGUGGCGAACGGGUGAGUAACACGUGAGUGAUCUGCCCCCAACUUGGGUAUAAGCCUGGGAAACUGGGUCUAAUUCCCGAUAGGACUGCAGGGUGGUGCCUGUGGUGGAAAACGAUUUUCUAGUGGUUGGGGAUGAGCUCGCGGCCUAUCAGCUUGUUGGUGGGGUAAUGGCCUACCAAGGCGGCGACGGGUAGCCGGCCUGGGAGGGUGGACGGCCACAUUGGGACUGAGAUACGGCCCAGACUCCUACGGGAGGCAGCAGUGGGGAAUAUUGCACAAUGGGCGGAAGCCUGAUGCAGCGACGCCGCGUGGGGGAUGACGGGCUUCGGGUUGUAAACUCCUUGCGACCGCGAGGAAGCCACCUGGUUGGAAGGGUGGUGACGGUAGUGGUAGAAGAAGCACCGGCUAACUACGUG
rnacentral:rRNA from 1 species